rnacentral:rRNA from 1 species
GAUGAACGCUAGCGACAGGCUUAACACAUGCAAGUCGAGGGGCAGCAUAAAAGUAGCAAUACUUUGGUGGCGACCGGCGCACGGGUGAGUAACGCGUAUGCAACCUACCUAUCAGAGGGGAAUAACCCGGCGAAAGUCGGACUAAUACCGCAUAAAACAGGGGCACCGCAUGGUGAUAUUUGUUAAAGAAAUUCGCUGAUAGAUGGGCAUGCGUUCCAUUAGGUAGUUGGUGAGGUAACGGCUCACCAAGCCGACGAUGGAUAGGGGAACUGAGAGGUUGGUCCUCCGCACUGUUAGUGAGAAGCGGACGAGACGCCUAGGGGAGGCAGCAGUGAGGAAUAUUGGACAAUGGUCGAGAGCCUGAACCAGCCAAGUCGCGUGAAGGAAGAAGGAUCUAUGGUUCGUAAACUUCUUUUGCAGGGGAAUAAAGUGCAGGACGUGUCCUGUUUUGUAUGUACCCUGAGAAUAAGGAUCGGCUAACUCCGUGCCAGCCGCCGCUGUAAUAC